AAAGAGUCAAAGAAAUGUUCUAUUCCGACCCGUCCCAAAAAUCAUAAAAGGAGUAAUUGCACGAGACAUCGACCACAGUGAAUCUUCUGCCAUCAUCACGGCUGGUGGCGUUGGCUUUACAUAUGUUAACCUCCGAUUUAAAAGUGAACGUGGGAGCUCCUGAACUAUGAAGUGGAAAUAUACGUUUAAUGUGUUUUGUUAAAAGUUAUUUUUGUAUAACACGAUUAAAUGGUUAAGAUAAGAAA